CAUUUAUUAUUUUUAUUUGGACAACAUAUAUACAUAUGUACAAAAUACCUACUGUCAGAAUCCUCUUUUAUAAUUUCAUUUGAUUUACAAAAACGGGACAGCAAAAUAACUUAGGUCACUAAUACUGUACAAAAAUAAAACUGAUUAAACAGUUGUAAAGAUCAGUAUCUUACAGUGUUACAGAUCAUCUGUUGUGAAAGAACAUCUCAAUCUAUCCAGAGUGAUGAGUACUGUGCUAAAUCUAUCUGCAAACUGACGAACUAAUCAGUUUCUGUAAUUAUAACUACCAAAUAGAAUUCUCAAAAGAAGCAUGAUGUGGAGCUAAACCUUAAAGCCAGGGCAUCAUUCCACAAUGGUGAAGGGCUUUCUUCUUCCCUAACCAAGGAGAGGAGAUAUCUUAACUCUAAAACUAUUAAAUUUUCCAGAAUAUGACAACUACUUACAGUAUUAGAUAAAACAGCUUUUCUUUCGUUUUAAACACCUGCAAUAGUCUUUCAAAAAUUCAGUUUGGUUAAAAAAGUAAACAAAAAUUACUAUCCUGCAUUUGGAUUUUCAUAAGUUAAAUCCAUGGUCUUUUUAAUAUAAAAAGUAAUUGUUUCAUAGUUUUAGUGUUCAACGAACUCUAGUAGUCCUAUUUGAACCAUAUCUUGAUAUAGUAAAUCUAAUUAGAAUGCUGGUUCCUGUUUUGUGACAUUUUAAAACAGGAUUUAAUCACAAAGAAUAAAAAGUAUUGAGUUUAUACGUUACAUUACUAUAACAUAUAGGAGAAUAUCAAAUGUGUGUUUGUCAACAACUUGAAAAGGCAAGUAACAACUUUUUUGGGAAGUAAAUUGUGCAUUUUUUUAAAACAAGUUGCUGCAUUUAUAUCCAUCUAAGUGCUUGACAAAAGCCACAUAUAGAUUUACUCCUGAAACUAUAAAGAUUGUCUUUCACUGACUUUGUUUUCUUUCGUUUCUUUCUGUGAGGGAAAGAUGACUUUUUACAAGUUAGCAAGUUGCUAGGCAACCCCAAACUCCUCACUCACUAAAAGGCAGCGUGCAGAGUAUCAUAAGCAGAACCAUUCCAUGAGCUCAGUAAGAAAUAGGCAGCCUAACCUACUUCGUAUGGAAGAACAGAUGUCCUUAAAACUUAUUUUGGACACAGAAAUUAAAAUUUGGUUUAAAAUAAGUGUUUCAAAAAUCUGAAACAGAGGUAGAAAGUGUUCUUUAUUUUUCCUGACAUGUUUUCUCGUGAGAAAACACUUUCCUUUUUAUCCCAUGGACUGCUCCCAGUCCCUAAUGUUAAAAGCAGUUCUCUUUAUAGAACUACUAAUACAACUACGUUGGUUAAACAAAAAAACACCGUGCUAGUGAUGGCUGUUGUAUUGGAAGUUGGAGUCAGCCGUGACCCGCGCCCACUGCAGGAGCCCACACUGAUUCUGAAUCAGAAACGAGUAUGUGUCAGGUGAAAUAGGUAGGCACCCUAUGUUUACACAACACAUUUCAGAGCACAAGUAUAAACUAGAGUGCACCAUAGCUCCCUGUUUUAAAUAUCAGAUAAAAUCAUCAGAAAGAGUUACUUCUGAAGAAAAAAAAAAUGUAAACAUUUCCCCCAUGAUCACUGCUGACUCCCCUCAUUUGAGGUCUUUUCUUAACUAUGAAAACUCAGUUCACUUUUCUGGCCUCGUAAAGGCCACAGUUAAGUUUUCAGGUAAAUGGCAUAUAUGGAUGUAGUGGUUUCAGCCAUUAUAGACACCUAGAUACAAGACAUAUUAGUGGUGAGGCUACUGAUGUAAAAGAUACAGUGAUGUGAUUUCAUUCGUAGUAUUCCAUGUCGCCUACGUUCUCCAAAAGGGACGAUUUUGCAGAGUCUCCUCUGAAAUCAUCGUGGUAUUUUCCCUUGGCGUUCACUACUUAUAAAGGUUGAUUUUUCUGUUUCUAUUUCAGCUCCCUUUCCUUCUACAUAACUCUUGCACCUGAGAGUGGGAGUUUUGUAGGAACACAGGAAGGAGACCAACAAACCUUUUUCACCAAAAAACUCCAGAUCUCAUUACUAUAUGCACACAUUUACAUAAAACCCAACAGAGUCAAAAGCUCUCUCCCCUAGUGGCAUUAGGAUACAAUAAUGAUGUUAACUAAAAGCAUAGGAAAAUUUGGAAAAGUUAAUAGAGUUAAAAUUCUGUUGGUUCUUUUCUUUUUCUUUUGCGAAACACUACCCUCCUUCUCCUUCAGCAUCUGUUGUGUGUAUUCUGC
ensembl:lncRNA